AGAGCCAGGCAAGAGGGUUGCCUGUAAGGGAGGAAAGUCCGGACACCAAGUGCCAGAAUGCUGGGUAAUACCCAGGAGUCGUAAGGCUACGGAAAGUGCAACAGAAAAUACACGGCCGAAAGGCAAAGGUGAAAAGGUGGGGUAAGAGCCCACCAGCAGGAAAGUGAUUUCCUGGCUUGGCAAACUCCAUUUGGUGCAAGUCCAAAAAGGGGAGGUUGGCACGCUAUUCCCGAGGUAGGACGCAUGAGAUGGUUAGUAAUAGCUAUCCUAGAGUAAUGACCCUCAAAACAGAAUCCGGCUUAUUGCCUGGCUCUCUAU
rnacentral:RNase_P_RNA from 1 species